UGAGGAAUAUUGGGCAAUGCCCGCAAGGGUGACCCAGCAACGCCGCGUGGAGGAUGAAUGUCGUAAGAUUGUAAACUCCUGUUAGAGGGGAAGAAUAGUACCGGUUGGACCGGUAUAUGACUGUACCCUCAGAGAAAGCCCCGGCUAACUACGUGCAAGCAGCCGCGGUAAUACGUAGGGGGCAAGCGUUGUCCGGAUUUACUGGGUGUAAAGGGCGCGCAGGCGGGAUAAAAAGCCAGUGGUGAAAUCCUACAGCUUAACUGUAGAACUGCCUUUGAUACUUUUAUUCUUGAGUUCGGGAGAGAGAGACGGAAUUCCAGGUGUAGUGGUGAAAUACGUAGAUAUCUGGAAGAACACCAGUUGCGAAGGCGGUCUCUUGGUCCGACACUGACGCUGAGGCGCGAAAGCGUGGGGAGCAAACA
rnacentral:rRNA from 1 species